rnacentral:rRNA from 1 species
GAUGAACGCUGGCGGCGUGCCUAAUACAUGCAAGUCGAGCGAACAGACGAGGAGCUUGCUCCUCUGACGUUAGCGGCGGACGGGUGAGUAACACGUGGAUAACCUACCUAUAAGACUGGGAUAACUUCGGGAAACCGGAGCUAAUACCGGAUAAUAUAUUGAACCGCAUGGUUCAAUAGUGAAAGACGGUUUUGCUGUCACUUAUAGAUGGAUCCGCGCCGCAUUAGCUAGUUGGUAAGGUAACGGCUUACCAAGGCAACGAUGCGUAGCCGACCUGAGAGGGUGAUCGGCCACACUGGAACUGAGACACGGUCCAGACUCCUACGGGAGGCAGCAGUGGGGAAUCUUCCGCAAUGGGCGAAAGCCUGACGGAGCAACGCCGCGUGAGUGAUGAAGGUCUUCGGAUCGUAAAACUCUGUUAUUAGGAAAGAACAAAUGUGUAAGUAACUAUGCACGUCUUGACGGUACCUAAUCAGAAAGCCACGGCUAACUACGUG